GCAACAAAUUAAAUUCAAAAUUCAUAUAUUCGUAUGUAUUUUAUGCUGCAGAGUACUACGCAACAGACAUUUAAUAAGCAGCUUUUUUAGAAAACUGAUUCAAUUUCAAAAAUAAAUAGCACUGUUAUUUGGAUUUCAAAGAAACUGACGCCCUACAAUAGCUGAAGCCUCACACAUAUUUUUUCAAGAAAGCUGCCAGCAACUGACGGCAAGACAUUCCUACAAUAAAUCCACACCUUGGCAUAUACUCGUACAUACAUGUGCAUUCAAGCGCUUUAUGAUGCACUUGUAGAGAUGUAAAAUAAGUAUCAACUCCUCAGAUGAGCUUCACCCGAUAAUCAUUCCGAGAAUUCACGGUUAUUCUGCACGUAAUAAAUCUGUUGUUAAGUAAAAUGGCUUAAGAAGAACGCCAUAUACUCAGGCAUAGUCGCAGUUUAGUGGCGGUCAUGGGAGUAUCACCCAGAGCAGCUUCCCUACUCUUGAUGCCUGAGGCCAGCUCAUAAAUAAAUGGCAAAGACUAAGAGUAUUCAAUCACCAGUGUAGCAAACAGAGACCAUACAAUUGACAAUUAUAAUAGCACGAUUUCAACAAAGGUGGUCCCAUAGUCAUGAAAGCGUAUCUUCUACACCCUAAUUAUAACUGGGUCGCAGAACUAGACGGAAUGAUCGCAUGCAACGUAACAAAACUUAAAGAGCCGCUGGACGAAACGACAUAGUAGCAAGCUACCCAGAGAGUACCAUCAACACCUUUAUAAACUCUCUUCCCGUGAAUGGAGUAUUCGGAAUUGAACCGCCACACUUGACAAACGAGGAGCUCGAGGUGCCUCGUAAGGCCAGAGUAACGCUUAGGAGUAAUGAAAAUUGGAUCCACACAUACUACAAACUCACACAACUGCACCACUCAUCUAGGCAUGAAGAGUAAAACUCCUGAGCUCCAGCACACACACCACACCACACCACACCAGACGAGCAUACCUGAGUUGGCAACUAAGGGUAUGCCAGGAGAGAGAGCGAGAUAGAGAGAGAGAGGAAGAGAGCGAGAGAUGUGCAAAGGCUACACAACGCAUGGAAAGCAGGACUAUGCACGUCAUCUGUGGCAUGUGGCAUGCCAAAGUGCAUGUUGGCCUCAUGUAAUGUAUGUAGUAUGCAGAGUGGCAAACAAAACAACGCUCGCUCGACCUGUGUAUGGGCAAAGUUUAAGAAUUUAUUGGCAAGUUAUCUCAUUUAAGUACCAUGUAGUGGAUUGUAGCGAGUCAAAGGUGUGCGGCUAUGGUCUUUGAGGUUGGCAUUAAAGGUAGUGCAACGUUUAUUUGUCGUGUUUUUGUAAAACUUUGACACACAUAUACGAUAUAUUCUGGCAUUUGCUACAAUGUAACGCAAAGAGUUUCUUGGGUAUAUGAGUAUUCGACUUCAAAAUCAUAGGUGUUUGUUGCUUUUGGUGCAACAUCUCUGCAAAUAUCUCAAUUUGGGUCAAAUGCAUUAGCGCUGAAGACAACCGCUUUAUGGUUUUUGAGUUUACAGCUGGAAUUUUAUGUGGAUUGCACUAUAAAUAUGCAAUGAAUUUUAGUGGAAUUUGCUUGAAAAAUUAUUAAUUAAGAUAAAUUAGUUAAAUUUAAUUAUACACCGGAGAUGUGUGAUAUAUUGGGAUGAAGUGGAAAUGAGCUCUAGUGGAGAGAAAUCAAGAAAGAUGGCGGAAAUUGUGAAACACUGGAGUUGAGAGAUUUUCUAGACCAUGCUUGAGAAAACCCUGGGGAAGUUUCAAGUUUUUCGAACCCAUUAUUCUCCAGAGUAGACUGCCAGCUCCACAGACAGCAUCGUGAAUUCGUACUAACCUCGAUUUUGUUGAUUUAAAGGCUCCUAUUUGAAAGGGACCGUCUUGAAUACCGUUCAUAUUUCUCUCCAGCUUUUAUGGAUAUACCUUUGGUCGAGCUCCUUCUCUAAUUUUUGGUUCGGAUCUUGAUUUUUAUGAGCAGCCUUGAUUUUAUUGUCAGAAAUGCACUCGGUGGGGUUAAUAUUUUCUGCGGUGGGGCGAUCACUUCCUGCAAAGAGCCAUGACCGACCGAUUAACAUGGAUCUUAGCUUGAUAAGUUCAGUAUAUCGAAGCCUAUCUACAAUUGCUUUGCUUCUGGAGAACCGGCUGAACUUAAGCUUAUUGUGAAGAAGUAACUUUUUCCUCUUUCGAUUGCUAAAAGAGUAAAUUUGAGUAUUUAUGUAGCUGCGGGAGACUUUUUAGUGCUAUGACUCGUUGUUUUUUAAGUUGUGUCAUUAGGCGCACUCACCUCCUCCGCGAAAUCUUUCUGGGGUAUGUAGCAUGAAUCAUGAAAAAUAGGCUCUUUUAGCUUAAUUAUAACCCAGAAAUACAGAUUUACCGAUGGCGGCGCCAUCUAGGCGCGAAGCCCUCGCUUAAUCUGCAUGUUCCUAAUUAAAUGACUUUUUCUACGAACCUUAUCAUAAACACUUCAUUUCUUUAAGUGCCACUGGCUUAUUGGGUUCCAACGAACAGCUUAUAUAUGCUACAUAUAUACCUCAUGCAAUUACUUCCUUCUUGGAACGCUCUAAUAUAAAGUGGAAAUUCUUUACGAACCAACAAAUCAAUGAGCGCAACCAGCACAGGCUGCAUCAUAAGCUCAGAAGGUUGUGUAUUUAUAAGAAAUUCAUCUUGGCAACAUUGCCACGUUGCCGUUCUUCUCCAAGUAUUUUACACUUUAAUAAAUGCAUUUUUCAUGCUGUCAUCACGUUGGUGUAACAGCUCGAAAAGUAGCUGUUAAAUGCAAUUGCUGCUGCCGAAGUUGUUGCCGUUCCUCUUCUUUCUCUUCAACUGCUCUCUCUUUCUCUCCCUCUAUCUCCAAAUAGUUGUUGCAUAAGCUGUUAGUAAAGCUUUAUGGUUGCCGGCAGAAACUGUUAUAAUACUCGGUGCAUAUUUUCAUUUGAAGGCAAUAACAGUCAACAAACUGUCGCUGAGCGGUGAUUUAUGGUACCAAUGUUGGGUGUGAGGGUUUAGGCAGAGGUGAGCAGAGGCAAGGCGCAAGUGAUGGACAUCGCCAUUAGCAUCUUUACUAAACAGAAGUAGCAAGGUUUUGAAGGUAUACUAGUAUAUUGAGCAAUUAUGUAUGGAGAGUGAGAGUCCUCAAUCUACUUUAGAUACAUACUCGUACAUAUAUACUCGUGCAUACAUUACUUUAAUAUAUGUAUAUAUAUAUACUGUGCUUGUUUUGCAACUGGAUGAAAGUAUAACCUUUAAAGUGCUACGAGAAGUUGUUUAUACAACAACAAUGUCCACACGUGUCACACUGACGUUCCAUAAUGCACUGCCCCAUUCACAUUGAUAAUGCUGCGGCACAUGUGGCAACAUAAAUGGCGAAUACAUCGGACGGUCGAUAGGUGAUCUACGUUGGCUGAAGUAUGAUAUAAAGUAGCAGUAUGUAUGUACGUCGCGCUAACUGCUGUCUCAAGUAAUAUUUAAUAAUAAAAAACCACUAAAUAAA